rnacentral:lncRNA from 1 species
AGGAAGCCUGUGUGGGUGGGGCAUUCGCUGCGGGGUCCUCAGUCACUGUCUCCUCUGUUCCCUGAUGCGGGAAGGACAGCUAGGGCUCUGAAGUGUGGAAGAGAGCGCUGGACUGGCUGAAGACUGAACUAGAGAGAAGAAGGAGUCGUAUACGGAAACAAACAAGUUCCUUCCUUAACCUCCAACUUCCUCAAAGAGAGCCAAUAAUAGCAGCAGGAAAGGGUCUCCAUCCUUGCUUUCUGAUUUACAGAAUGGGGUCAGGCUCUUACCCUAUUCUGUGUGACUCAGGCAGUUAGAAAUACAACAUCUGGCUCCUCAGCAUGGACAUUCUUACCAGGCUAUGACCAAGACAUCAGGGCCGCUAAAUCCUCAAACCCAUCUAUUGCACAGAAGAAUUUUAAAACCAGAUCCAAAUCAAACUCCAGUUGCAACGUAGUGACAAUAAGGAUGGACAUGCCAGGAAAGGACAAUAAAGAAGAUGCUUCCAUUCUCUGCAGGCUUCUGGAAGAAAGUACAAUGACAGAAACAUUCACAGGACCUCAGCAGCCCCUCCAUUUCCUAUUACCAACCCC